AUAAGCCUGUGAUGAAAAAAGUUAUCCCUGUCUUAAAUGAUCAUGUGGAGACCUGGUAAACUGAGGCUUAC